CGCCUGGGGAGUACGGCCGCAAGGUUAAAACUCAAAUGAAUUGACGGGGGCCCGCACAAGCGGUGGGGCAUGUGGUUUAAUUCGACGCAACGCGAAGAACCUUACCUGGCCUUGACAUCCAGAGAACUUUCCAGAGAUGGAUUGGUGCCUUCGGGAACUCUGAGACAGGUGCUGCAUGGCCGUCGUCAGCUCGUGUCGUGAGAUGUUGGGUUAAGUCCCGUAACGAGCGCAACCCCUAUCCCUGGUUGCUAGCAGGUAAUGCUGAGAACUCCAGGGAGACUGCCGGUGACAAACCGGAGGAAGGUGGGGAUGACGUCAGGUCAUCAUGGCCCUUACGGCCAGGGCUACACACGUGCUACAAUGGCGCGUACAGAGGGCUGCCAACUCGCGAGAGUGAGCCAAUCCCUUAAAACGCGUCGUAGUCCGGAUCGGAGUCUGCAACUCGACUCCGUGAAGUCGGAAUCGCUAGUAAUCGCGAUUCAGAAUGUCGCGGUGAAUACGUUCCCGGGCCUUGUACACACCGCCCGUCACACCAUGGGAGUGGAUUGCACCAGAAGUAGUUAGUCUAACCUUCGGGAGGACGAUUACCACGGUGUGGUUCAUGACUGGGGUGAAGUCGUAACAAGGUAACCGUA
rnacentral:rRNA from 1 species